rnacentral:lncRNA from 1 species
CACAUAAUGGGAAGCCCCCUCCCUGCACGAAAAUCAGCUUGACACGAAAGCAAAUGGGAACCAAUCCCAGCUUCUCUCCUGCUUUUCCUGAGCAGCCUCCUUACCUUGAAGUGUGUGUGUGUGGCGUGCAACCUGCCUGCAGCUGAGCACCUCUCCUCUAGAGUAGAGAAAUGCAUAAGAAGCUCCUUAAAGCACGUGCCAGAGCCUACAGCCAAGCAACUCUUCUAAAGUAAGGAACAGAACUUGACUGUUGCCUCCUUGCCUUGGAGAAUGUGUGCGUAGCAUGCAAGCCCGGAAAUCACUGCCUGCAGCCAAGCGCCUCCUCUAGAGUAAGAAACAGAACUAACCUCCUUGCCUUGGAGAGUGUUGUGUGCAACCUGCCUGCAGCCAAGUGCCUCUCCUCUAGAGAAGAGAAACAGGUAAGAAGCCUUCUUAAAGCUCACGCCAGUUCCUGCAGCUGAGCACCUCCCCUAGAGUAUGAAACAAGUCUUGCCUCUUGCUGCCUUGCCUUGGAGAGUGUGUGUGUGGCAUGCAGGUCCAGAAAACACUGCCUGCAGCCAAGAGCCUCCUCUAGAGUAAGAAACAGAACUAACCUCUUUGCCUUGGAGAGUGUUGUGUGCAGCCUGCCUGCAGCCAAGUGUCUCUUCUUUAGAGAAGAGAAACAGGUAAGAAGCCUUCUUAAAGCUCAUGCUAGUGCCUGCAGCUGAGCGCCUCCUCUAGAGUAUGAAACAAGUCUUGCCUCUUGCUGCCUUGCCUUGGAGAGUGUGUGUGUGGCAUGCAGGUCCAGAAAACACUGCCUGCAGCCAAGAGCCUCCUCUAGAGUAAGAAACAGAACUAACCUCUUUGCCUUGGAGAGUGUUGUGUGCAGCCUGCCUGCAGCCAAGUGUCUCUCCUCUAGAGAAGAGAAACAGAGCGCUCUCUCAACCAGAAGGCCUUUCCUCCAAACCACCAAAAGUUGCUGAGCAUUUUCCAGUAGCUGAGGUUUCCUUCCCGUCGAUGUGGGUGGCGAGUCCAAAGCAAAAAAAAAUCCCUACAUGGCUACAAAUAAAAAGCAGAGGAAAAUGAAUGUGCGUGUGUUUGUGUGCAUGAGGAAAGAAAGCAAAGGGAUCCCUGAUUGUGCAACGUAAGCCGAGCGCUAAAGCAACCUUUCUUGGCACAACUCAGGCUUAGAAGAUCCGUCAAGACCGUCUGCGGGGUCAUUUAGGGACAGCACAGGAAAGAGAAAAAAGAAAACCACAGGUGUAACAAGAUCCAGGCAGGGGGUUCGACCAUUUUGCAAAGGGUAGGACACAUUUUUAUAUAUAUAAAAAAUUCUACGGAGCUUGGCAAACACUAUAAUACAAAUCUGGAACCUCUAUGACCACAAUAAACGCCAUAGCAGCAUGCAAAAUAAAUUGAAACAGUUUUCUCCA